rnacentral:rRNA from 1 species
AGUUGAUCCUGGCUCANGAAGAACGCUGGCGGCAUGCUUAACACAUGCAAGUCGAACGACACAGUGGCGGACGGGUGAGUAACGCGUGGGAACGUGCCCUCCAUCUACCGAAUAGCUCCGGGAAACUGGUGGUAAUACCGUAUACGCCCUUCGGGGGAAAGAUUUAUCGGUAGAAGGAUCGGCCCGAGUAAGAUUAGCUAUGCUGGUGGGGUAAUGUGCCUGACCAAGGCUGACGAUCUAUAGCUGGUCUGAGAGGAUGAUCAGGCACACUGGGACUGAUACGCGGGCCAGACUCCUACGGGACGCAGCGGUGGGGAAUCUUGCGCAAUGGGCGAAAGCCUGAUGCAGCCAUGCCGCGUGAAUCAUGAAAGCCAUAAGGUCGCAAGAUUCUUUCACCUCGGACGAUAAUGACGGUACCUUGACAAGAACCCCCGGCUAACUUCCUGCCAGCAGCCGCGGUAAUACCAAGGGGGCUAGCGUUGAUCGGACUUACUGCGCAUAAAUCGCGCGUAGGCCGGUCAUUAGUUCCGGUGUGAAAUCCCGGUGCUCAACCUCGGAACUGCACUUGAAACUGGUAACCUAGAGUCCGGGAGAGGUCCCUGGAGUACCGAGUGUAUAGGUGAAGUUCGUAGAUAUUCGGUGGAACUCCAGUGGCGCAUGCGACUGACUGG